CACUCUAAGCGGUGAAUCACUCGGCUCAUGGGUCGAUGAAGAACGCAGCAAACUGUGCGUCAUCGUGUGAACUACAGGACACAUGAACAUUUUGAACGCAUGUCGCAUAUGCUUGAGGGUGG
rnacentral:rRNA from 1 species